UCCCAGACUCCUACGGGAGGCAGCAGUGGGGAAUUUUGGACAAUGGGCGCAAGCCUGAUCCAGCAAUGCCGCGUGAGUGAAGAAGGCCUUCGGGUUGUAAAGCUCUUUUGUCAGGGAAGAAACGGUGGGAGCUAAUAUCUCCCACUAAUGACGGUACCUGAAGAAUAAGCACCGGCUAACUACGUGCCAGCAGCCGCGGUAAUACGUAGGGUGCAAGCGUUAAUCGGAAUUACUGGGCGUAAAGCGUGCGCAGGCGGUUUUGUAAGUCUGAUGUGAAAUCCCCGGGCUCAACCUGGGAAUUGCAUUGAAGACUGCAAGGCUAGAGUUUGGCAGAGGGGGGUAGAAUUCCACGUGUAGCAGUGAAAUGCGUAGAUAUGUGGAGGAACACCGAUGGCGAAGGCAGCCCCCUGGGUCAAGACUGACGCUCAUGCACGAAAGCGUGGGGAGCAAACAGGAUUAGAUACCCUGGUAGUCCACGCCCUAAACGAUGUCUACUAGUUGUCGGGUCUUAAUUGACUUGGUAACGCAGCUAACGCGUGAAGUAGACCGCCUGGGGAGUACGGUCGCAAGAUUAAAACUCAAAGGAAUGACGGAAGGGCG
rnacentral:rRNA from 1 species